CCUUUGGGUGGGGAAUAACAGCCGGAAACGGCUGCUAAUACCGCAUAAUGCAGCGGCUCGACAUCGAGACAGUUGUUAAAGCGGGGGAUCGCAAGACCUCGCGCCUGAAGAGAAGCCUGCGGCAGAUUAGCUAGUUGGUAAGGUAAUGGCUUACCAAGGCAACGAUCUGUAACCGGCCUGAGAGGGCGGUCGGUCACACUGACACUGACAUACGGGUCAG
rnacentral:rRNA from 1 species